rnacentral:rRNA from 1 species
UACGGGGGGGGUAAGCGUUGUUCGGAAUUACUGGGCGUAAAGGGCUCGUAGGCGGCCAACUAAGUCGGACGUGAAAUCCCUCAGCUUAACUGGGGAACUGCGUCCGAUACUGGAUGGCUUGGAUUUGGGAGAGGGAUGCGGAAUUCCAGGUGUAGCGGUGAAAUGCGUAGAUAUCUGGAGGAACACCGGUGGCGAAGGCGGCAUCCUGGACCGACACUGACGCUGAGGAGCGAAAGCCAGGGGAGCAAACGGG